rnacentral:rRNA from 1 species
UACAGAGGGGGCAAGCGUUGUUCGGAAUUACUGGGCGUAAAGGGCUCGUAGGUGGCCAACUAAGUCAGACGUGAAAUCCCUCGGCUUAACCGGGGAACUGCGUCUGAUACUGGAUGGCUUGAGGUUGGGAGAGGGACGCGGAAUUCCAGGUGUAGCGGUGAAAUGCGUAGAUAUCUGGAGGAACACCGGUGGCGAAGGCGGCGUCCUGGACCAAUUCUGACACUGAGGAGCGAAAGCCAGGGGAGCAAACGGG